CAGUAGCCACGGGAAUACGUAGGUGGCAAGCGUUGUCCGGAAUUAUUGGGCGUAAAGGGCUCGCAGGCGGUUUCUUAAGUCUGAUGUGAAAGCCCCCGGCUCAACCGGGGAGGGUCAUUGGAAACUGGGAAACUUGAGUGCAGAAGAGGAGAGUGGAAUUCCACGUGUAGCGGUGAAAUGCGUAGAGAUGUGGAGGAACACCAGUGGCGAAGGCGACUCUCUGGUCUGUAACUGACGCUGAGGAGCGAAAGCGUGGGGAGCGAACAGGAUUAGAUACCCCAGUAGUCCCUGUCUCUUAUAC
rnacentral:rRNA from 1 species